rnacentral:rRNA from 1 species
GACGAACGCUGGCGGCGUGCCUAAUACAUGCAAGUUGAGCGCUGAAGGUUGGUACUUGUACCGACUGGAUGAGCAGCGAACGGGUGAGUAACGCGUGGGGAAUCUGCCUUUGAGCGGGGGACAACAUUUGGAAACGAAUGCUAAUACCGCAUAAAAACUUUAAACACAAGUUUGAAGUUUGAAAGAUGCAAUUGCAUCACUCAAAGAUGAUCCCGCGUUGUAUUAGCUAGUUGGUGAGGUAAAGGCUCACCAAGGCGAUGAUACAUAGCCGACCUGAGAGGGUGAUCGGCCACAUUGGGACUGAGACACGGCCCAAACUCCUACGGGAGGCAGCAGUAGGGAAUCUUCGGCAAUAGACGAAAGUCUGACCGAGCAACGCCGCGGGAGUGAAGAAGGUUUUCGGAUCGUAAAACUCUGUUGGUAGAGAAGAACGUUGGUGAGAGUGGAAAGCUCAUCAAGUGACGGUAACUACCCAGAAAGGGACGGCUAACUACGUG